rnacentral:lncRNA from 1 species
CCGCACUGGGCAUGCUCAGUCUCCGGGCUCUGCUCGGCAGGCGAGAGGCGUCCUCCGGCUCUGGGCUCCGGUCGGUGGGUGCCUCGGCUCGGCUUUCCCCGGCGCUGGCUGGGCACAGCGGCCCCUGAGCCCAAGCGACACACGCCCCGCGGUCCCCGAUCCGGCCCCUGGGAGAGCCGCGCCGUUCUGGAACCCGGGAGCCCCCAACUUCGCGCCAAGUUCGGAGCCGCCUUCUGAGGGAGACAUGAAAAAGAUGAGCAGGAAUGUUUUGCUACAAAUGGAGGAGGAGGACGACGACGACGAUGGGGAUAUCGGAAGAAUUUAAUGGAAAACCUGACUCCCUCUUUUUUAAUGAUGGCCGGCGAAGAAUUGACUUUGUUCUAGUAUAUGAGGAUGAAAGCAGAAAAGAGACCAAUAAAAAGGGUACAAAUGAAAAACAAAGGAGGAAAAGACAAGCAUAUGAAUCUAACCUUAUCUGUCAUGGCCUGCAGUUAGAAGCAAC